AAGGCGCUAAAUCCAAAAGUGUUUAAUUCCAAAAGGCGCUAUAUCCACCUUGUGUGUUUUGAUCAAUCAGAGCGCAGUAUUGUUCCAGUGACCCGGAUUGACAACAGCUUUUAGCUUGCUGCUUGCAUCGAGAUCGAUCCUAUUUCUGCAGUAUUUACAGUGUUUUGAUAGUCUUUAGCUCACUUAGCAGCAUGGAUGAGGGAGGGGUGCUAGUUGAGAGAACCAACAAUCCAAGAAAAAGGAAGCGUAAUGAAAAAUAAUGGGCCAAAAACCAGAACAAGGAAGAUCAUAACACCGCUCCUCGGAAGCAACCAGCCAUUGGAUGCCAGCACAUGCCUCACAGCUUUUGUAAGGCAUCUUUGCUGACAGAAGGAGACAUCACAGAUACUUUCCAGGACUGCUACAGAGACUCGAACAACCGCGGCAAGAUUCAUUCAUCAUGUGCCACUUACAACUCAAUCCAGUCAUGCGCCAUCGAGGAAAUGGUCCACAACCAAGGAGAGAGCGGAACUAUGCCCCAACAUUUCAAAUAACGACACAGUAAGGGAAAAUGUGGAGGUGUGCUCCGGAAGAUUCAGAUCCAUCCUUGUACUUGGUAGGAAACGUCUGGGCAACCUAAUGAAGUACGCCUGCCAUUCAAAAUCACAGAGGCCAAACGCAUCUACAUGAGACCAGCUCCAGCCCCAGUCACUGUCGCCAAGUAUUAUAGCGCACCUGGAGAUGAGUACACCAUAUUGAAGAGAGGAAAGAGAUGGAGUACUCUUCUGGUCAAUCAGCUCCCAUUGUUAAGCUGUGUAAAGCCAGCGAAGCAGCGGGAUGUAGCAAAUCUUCUACGAGCGAUGGGGGUGGAGCUACAAGUGGACCCGCUAGUAGGGUAUGAGCCACGCAACUUCAUUCAGGAAGUAGGUGCCUUUUACAAAGAGGUGUGCGCGCCUACUGAUGCAAGUGACGUAGAGAGUGAUGAGGACGAGGGCAUCAUUGCUGCCUAUGAAGAUUGACAUUUGAUUUCAUGCCUUUUACACAGUUAAUGGAUCAGUUUAAACUAUUUAAUUCAAGAACAGAGAAGGCUUC